rnacentral:rRNA from 1 species
CUUUAAGUGGCGGACGGGGUGAGUUAACGCGUGGGCAACCUGCCCCGUGCCGGGGAUACCGCCUGGAAACAGGCGCUAAUACCGCAUUAAGCGCAUACAGCCGCAUGGCAGUAUGCGGAAAGCUCCGGCGGCACGGGAUGGGCCCGCGCCCGAUUAGCCAGUUGGCGGGGUAACGGCCCACCAAAGCGACGAUCGGUAGCCGGCCUGAGAGGGCGGACGGCCACAUUGGGACUGAGACACGGCCCAAACUCCUACGGAAGGCAGCAG